GAGAGACAGGUGCGAUUCCUCCUCAUUUCUCAUCCAGUUGCAUUUCCUCGUUGGGUCAUAUAUUGAUUUUUACGCGUCGGAGAGAGAGAGAGAGAGAGAGAGGAAUCAGAUCAGCAAGUUUCAUUUUUUCCGAUAUCUUCUCUCUCCGUCGGCCAAUUCCAUUUCCGUUAAAACCUUUUGCCCGUCGCCACCAUGAACGAGAAGGCUAAUGUUACAAAAGAGCUUAAUGCUAAGCACAGAAAGAUACUAGAAGGACUUCUUAAAUUGCCCGAGAACAGGGAAUGUGCAGAUUGCAAAGCCAAGGGUCCUAGAUGGGCAAGCGUGAACCUGGGGAUAUUUAUUUGCAUGCAAUGCUCUGGGAUCCACAGAAGUCUGGGGGUGCACAUAUCGAAGGUCAGAUCAGCUACUCUAGACACAUGGCUUCCUGAACAAGUUGCAUUUAUUCAAUCAAUGGGAAAUGAGAGGUCUAAUAGUUAUUGGGAAGCAGAGCUGCCUCCAAAUUAUGAUAGAGUUGGUAUUGAGAAUUUCAUCCGAGCAAAAUAUGAAGAUAAGAGGUGGGUCCCUAAGGAUGGGAUACAAAAACCACCUUCCAGGGUUCAAGAAGAGAGGGCUUCAGUGCAAUGGCAACAAAACAGUGAUAGAAGUGGGCGUGGACAUGCGACUAACUCAGGGGUUGCAUCUGAUGAGAGGAAGAACGUUCAAGCCCCGAACACAAAGCAAGAUAUACCUGCUGCUAGAGUCAGUAUACCACUGCCUCCUAGAGGGCCAGAGCAUGUAAGUUCGAGUCAGGUUGCUUACCAGACAAAUCAGAAAGCAGAGCCUGUUGUAGUCGCUGAAUCUAUAAAGCAGGUUGCAGAAGCUACGAAUCCUCCUAAAGUUGAUUAUGCUACUGAUCUUUUUGACAUGCUUUCUAUGGAUUCUCCAAGUGACAAUGGCUCGGAAGCAGCUUCUACCGAUGAUAACUCNCCCCUUUUUUUUUUUUACAAUUAACAUUUAGAGACUGCUCAAGAAGCAACAAAAGCAGAAAAAACGGGGGCUACAAAAACUGAUGAUCAGAAGUCUCAAUCUGCUUCUGCUUCUGGAAUUGAAGAUUUAUUCCAGGAUUUACCAUCAAUUCUGCCUUCUGCCUCAUUCGGGAAGCCGCAGAAAGAUGUAAAAAAUGAUAUAAUGAGCCUUUUUGACAAGUCCAAUAUGGUGUCACCUUUUGCUAUGCAUCAACAACAGCUCGCCAUGCUGGCACAACAACAGUCUUUACUAAUGGCUGCGGCUGCUGCUGGUGGCGCUGUAAAAAUUCCUGUGAAUGCACAGCAAGGCCCUAACGGCGCCAAUAUGGUAAAUCAAAAUUGGCCAAAUUUAGGCUAUCAGUUCCCUGGUGUGAUGAUGCCAGCAGCUGGUAAGACUGAGCCGGAGAAAUAUAUGCAGGUAGGCAAUAUGGGACCGACACAUGUAGUUGGGAACGCUGUGCCACUUUCAACAUCCAGCUUCUACUCGAUGGGACAAAAUUCUUCCAGCAACGGUAUUUUGCCGUCUGGACCUAGCAUGCAGGCAGCUACUCCUAUUUCAUCAAGUUCUACGCAGUCGACAAAAGAAUACGACUUUUCCUCUUUGACGCAGGGGAUGUUCUCAAAACGCUGAAAACUCUACACGAGAAAGGAAGCAUACUAGUUGUUAGUAUACAAAUUGUUUUUUCCACAGGGAAAUUAGCUUUUGUUGUUCUACUCCUGCUUUGGAGAUUGUAAACUAAUGUAGAGGGAGCAAUAUUGAGUUUUCAGGUUAUGGCUUGAUUUGUAUUGUUGUAUCUGGAAAAAAAUAAGCGCUCAAGAUUGGAUGGAAUUCGAUUCUUUUCCUCCCUUUCCCUCAUUCAUGCAUUUACUGUUCUGGGUGAUGUUCCCCUAUAAUCUCCCUUAAUCUAAAGAAAUGCUAUUUUCCGUUUUA